rnacentral:rRNA from 2 species
AAAGGCGCAAUGAAAGUAAAGGUCCGCCUCGCGCGGACCGAGGGAGGAUGGGCGGUCCACGGAUCGGCCCCGCACUCCCGGGGCGUCUCGUUCUCAUCGCGAGAAGAGGCGCACCCAGAGCGUACACGCUGGGACCCGAAAGAUGGUGAACUAUGCCUGGUCAGGACGAAGUCAGGGGAAACCCUGAUGGAGGUCCGUAGCGAUUCUGACGUGCAAAUCGAUCGUCGGAACUGGGUAUAGGGGCGAAAGACUAAUCGAACCUUCUAGUAGCUGGUUCCCUCCGAAGUUUCCCUCAGGAUAGCUGGCGCUCGCUGUUGCGAGUCUCAUUCGGUAAAGCGAAUGAUUAGAGGCAUUGGGGUCGAAACGGCCUCAACCUAUUCUCAAACUUUAAAUGGGUGAGAUCUCCGGCUUGCUUGAAUAGUGAAGCCGCGAGUUCGGAUCAGAGUGCCAAGUGGGCCACUUUUGGUAAGCAGAACUGGCGCUGUGGGAUGAACCAAACGCCGAGUUAAAGCGCCUAAAUCGACGCUUAUGGGA